rnacentral:lncRNA from 1 species
UACUGCCUGAGUAGCUGCUAAGACUUCUUGCUGUCUAAUUUGCUCCUCAGUCCAUUUCACAGAAAGGGAACCUGGGGUUUAGGGAGGCCAAGGGAUCUAUCUCACACACAGAUUCUCUGUUCCCCUAUUUCUGCUAGAGCCAGCCUCCUUAUCUAUAGGUGAAGACUUUUCCCAACACCAAGCACAAGAUCAUGGCUCACUUUCUCUACUGAGAACAAUGAAUGAAUGGAUGGAGAGGGGGAGAAAGAGAGAAAAUGUCACAAGACCAAGGAGGAACUGAUCUAUAUGAAGCAUUAGAGCUGAUACUCUGCCCAUAGAGCCGGCUCUCCCUCGAGAAGGGCCCCUGGGGACCCAGAGAAUGUCACACUGGAUAUGGCUUUGACAGUAGUCAAGAACGGGGUCAAGAGGAGCUCACUGUGAAUGCUCCUUGGGAGUGCCUUGUCCACACCCCCAACCUGUACAACCCCUCACUCGGCAACUCUAACUUUACAGAGGAGGGGCAGGCAGGGACACUGUAGGAUAUCGGAAUGGGCUGCUAGUUGCCCUCCCUGCCCGCAAAGGACAGCCCCUAGGUGAAGUCUGUGCACCGCUUGCAGGGAUCUCAGAACCUUGAGGGGUAUCCACAGGCAGGAUAAGUCGCAGGACACCGAGGAUCGAAGCUCAGGGACACCUGAGUCUGUGCUGAAACUUGAAUUUGCCUUAAUGCUGACAGAAGAUGUUAUGUGAACACAGCUCAAGUCUAACAGAAGGAAGUCAGUCGGGUGGGAGGGGCAGAGGACGACUGACAGCACUUGGAGGCGCACCCAGGACGAUCCGCUGGAAGCGAGGACGACGCUAACGUGGCAGUGGAACAUCAACAGCAUGGAAACUCACGGACGGACGGACGGACGGACAGACGGACGGAAGCAGCUUUGUUCAAUGUGUACAAUAUGUGUGAACAACAUUCGUCUUCUUGUGACUAGCCCAUUCCCUUAGCACACCCAUCAAAGUGGACUGUAGGUUGCUUUUGAUCAUGGUCCUUGUG